CGGAAGCGUUAUGGAACCGUGUGACGGAGCCUUUUCCACGUAGAGGGGCCGUGUGGGUGGCCUUCAGGAACGGGCCGAGGGGUUGCCGCGCGCCCUGGGACGACGGCGUCCGGCUCCCGGUGUGGCCGAAGCGCGUGGCCUCAGGACGUGGCCGUUCGCAGGAGACCCUGACCGAGAGACGGCAGCCUGGCGAUGGCAGGAACUUCCCAGAUGGCGAGGCGGCCUUCCUUGGCGCUCCAUGUGGAUCCACCCUGCCGGGCAUCCGAGAGCUGAGUCGGAGGCUGCGAAUUGCAGAGGGGCUGAAAGUGGGGUGCCGGGUCGGGACUCGUGACCUGGGAUUAUGGAGUCAGCUUUGGGGACGGGGAGGUCCAGGCUGUGGCCCCUUAGGCCACGUGAAGGGAGAGCCUCACUUUUGUUCACAGUGCUGAGGUGCGCAGGACAGAGCAGUCCCGGGGCGUGUCCCAUCACUUGUCCGUCGUGCCUUCUGUGUCUUUUGUGCCUCUCCUGUUGUACGUGCCUCGCCUUAUCUCUUCUGGGGGCUUACCAGAAACCCCGGUGUCACUCCUCGCAUCUCCGAUCUCUGGGCUCCUCAGCCCGACACCAUCGAAGCUUUGCCUCAGGAGCUCUCAGAGGCCUUGGAAUCGCGUCUCUCUUUUAAAAGCAUCCGAUCGGAUGUCUUUUAGAGGUCUUGUUCCGUGCUGUGUCAACAGCCGUGCGCCGCGAGGAUCCAUUGCUGCGGCUUAGGUCUUGAAGAAACGCAAAGUUUGGUAGGGGGCUGUGGCCCUCAGAUUCUCGGGCAUCCGUCUUGGCAGUUGCUGGAGUUUGUCAUUCCAUCAGCAUCUUCUUCCUCCCGGGUUCUGCGAGCUUCAUCAGCUCGCCUUCAUUCUCACCCGGCUCAUCUCGUUCCG